AGUGAACGCUGGCGGUAGGCCUAACACAUGCAAGUCGAACGGCAGCACAGUAAGAGCUUGCUCUUACGGGUGGCGAGUGGCGGACGGGUGAGGAAUACAUCGGAAUCUACUUUUUCGUGGGGGAUAAUGUAGGGAAACUUACGCUAAUACCGCAUACGACCUACGGGUGAAAGCAGGGGAUCUUCGGACCUUGCGCGAUUGAAUGAGCCGAUGUCGGAUUAGCUAGUUGGCGGGGUAAAGGCCCACCAAGGCGACGAUCCGUAGCUGGUCUGAGAGGAUGAUCAGCCACACUGGAACUGAGACACGGUCCAGACUCCUACGGGAGGCGGCAGUGGGGAAUAUUGGACAAUGGGCGCAAGCCUGAUCCAGCCAUACCGCGUGGGUGAAGAAGGCCUUCGGGUUGGAAAGCCCUUUUGUUGGGAAAGAAAAGCAGCAGGUUAAUACCCCGCUGUUCUGACGGUACCCAAAGAAUAAGCACCGGCUAACUUCG
rnacentral:rRNA from 1 species